UACACAAUUUACAUGGCUUUCGAGUCCUUUUAUUUAUGACCAGGGAAAAACCUCUAAUUGUUAACUUUGUAUUUUCCCACUGACUAGCGCAUAUCUUGCCUAAGCGCAGGCUUAAGCAAUGCGUUUUGUUCUGCCCUAGCGCCUAGGUGCUUACACCCUUUCCCCCUACUGAUUUAAGAGGUGUGGAGAUUUUUUAAGGAGGUGUUGCUCGCUUUGUUGUUCAGAUCACAGAAGAAGUAUGUACAAGUAUACAUCACCGCUGUUACUUGCUUGCAAUUACAGUGUAUUUUAAAACACACACUUGGCGAACAUCUGCUCGUGCUUACAAUGAUCUAUGAGGGAAAUAAUAGAUCAACACUUGCUUUUUUGCUCCUUUUGAACAGUUGUCAGGACCUCACCGGCAGAUCCCUCAGCUAUCAGGGAAAGCAGUCAUCAGCGGAGAUUGAGGGUGCCUCUCCGGCAAGAGUGCUCGUGUCGUGGUGGUUUCCCACCAGCAGCAUGGGGGAGACGGUGUCCUCUGCAGCUAGGUCUACUUGCUGGCGACCUCACCGUCACCAGCCCAUCUGCAGGUAUGCUAGCUCAUCUUCUAUUAGUGCAAAAAGGAGAUGCUCAAAUGGAUUGAGUGGUACCCUCCUGAAACUAUUGUAGGGAUGGACAUAUGGAUUGAUUGGUUGGCCCCUGAAAGCUACACAGAUCUGAACCAAUAACUUUAAUAAGAAUGUGUAUCCCAGCUCCUUUUAUAAUCUUGAAUCCUUCUCGGUCCUACUAAACUGUAACUCAUGUUUAUUUUUGGAAACAAUAUUUUGGACAUUCCUAACCUGGUCAAGGGAAUGUAUUGCCCACCUACAGUGAGAGACACAUACGAAGUAGGUCCUACUAAACACCUAAAAGGAUGAGUUACAGUAGGUGUGCAUAGAGUACUAACAUUUUUGCUAUCUUUAUGCUCCUCCAUAUGGAUGGGAACUAAAAGGAUGAUGAUAUUAUUCUACCUUUCAAUAUUUGGUGGUGCAUAUUUAAGAAAAUCACAGCUAAGCAUGUCACUUUCUAAAAAGACGCUUGACUGGAAUGUAUAUGUAUAUAGUUAAUAAAAUCAUAGUGACUGAUUGUUCAGUUCCUCUGUUUAGAUUAGAGGUGUCUGCAUGCAUCCAAGUGAACGGUCUUUCCAGCUCAAAAGAGAAAGUGACCGAUGUUUUGGCAUAUUUUCCUAUUAGGAAUAAAUGGAUAUGCCCAUGCACGUAUGCACACAGAUUUCAGGUUACAGUUUAAUUAGGAAACAGAUGAUACCUCAUUGUGUCGUAUUGGUCUAAGAAGAGGGGAUAUACUUGGUGAAUAUAUAUGUUCCACCUGACCGUUAAUUUCAGAGAAAAGGACAUGCACUUCAGUAGCAAAAAUUUGAUUGUUAUGUACUAUCUGUAAUGCUAAGCAUUUAUUUGCUAAUAUCUCCUCAUCUGAAUUUGUAUUUUGUGCCAUUUGGCCUUUUAACCAUAUGGGCAUAUGCAGAUGGUCUGAAAACCAAGGUAUGCCACAGAUAAUAACUAUAUGGGCUGCUCCAGAUGGACUAAGAAUGGAACCAUAUCCUAGGCCUACAUGCUAAUAUUGUACAGCAAUGAAUAUCUUAACUUAUUUAUACUUAAUCAGCUGUGUAAUAAUAAGCGUGAUAUUAGCUUUCGUACCCAUCUUCAUGGUUGAAAUACUUUUCUGCAAUAUGUGACACAUUUGCUUCAGUUUCCAUGUCUUGCUUCAUGCUAUCAACAUUGUUAAUCAUUUAUCUUUAUCUUUCUUCCCCUUUACAGCCUACUUGAAUGGAUAUGGUUCCUGAGAGACCAUUUCUUAUGCAUCAGGUCCUGAAGGUGGAUGAUGCUUGUUUAGAUAUCUAUGAUUCCAAAUUAUUCAAAACGGUUCAUGUUAUACUGGAUGCUAUUUUAUUGAGAGUGGCUUCGAACAAUAUGGCAUGAACAUAUUUGUUUUCUCUUUGGCCAAUAAUGAAAUGAUCUGUGUGCAUAUAAAAUGGUUAUCGAUACCAUAAUUCUUGGUUUUAAUUAGCUUUUUGCGCUAACCGGUUUAAGCCAUUCUACUAUAUGUAAUACAAUCCACAUUGCAUCAUCUUUCCAUUUACGUCUCUUACUUAUUCACUACUAACAUUCCUUCUAAAUGGCUUCUUGCGCCAUUGGCGCAACCGGGUCAUCUAGUUAGUAGCAAAACCUGUUAAUGUUGAACCAAAAGAAGCCGCUAGUAGAUACUAAAGUCACCUAACUUUCGGUGUAGUCAGGGUCUCAACCGGAGGUUGACAAAGAAGUAAUGGGCAAUGAAACUAGAAGUAGGAAGUAGGUGUUUUGUUAAAGAUCGAAAACCCAAAUGUAUUUCUCGUUCUUCUUGUUUGGCUUCAUUUGUUUUUUUAUCUCUUUCUUUUGUGUUCUUUAUGGUUCUUUUCCUUCUAAUUAUUUCUUUUGUUUAUUUGUUUGCUUUUACAAGAAAAAAUACAAAACAUUUCUUUCUCCCUUUUUUCUUUUGAAGUUCUUUGAGAAAACAACAAAUAUUUCUUCAUUCUUUUUGCUUUUUCUUUGGAAGUUUAUCUGAUUGCCUCUUUGUUGAAACUUUGGAAAUCUUGUAUCUUUGCUUGUCACUUUGCAUUAUUGUUUGCCUUCUUUGGGAAAACCAAAAAUUCCAAAAAUACUUAAGUGGUGUUUCUCUUAGUUCUUUGCCUUUUAUAUUUCAAAAAAUCAAAAAAAAAAAUUCUCUUUCAUUUUUCUUUUGUUUUCCUUCGUUUGCUUUUGAUUGUUCUUUUUGGCUUUUCUCGCUGUUUCUUUUUG
rnacentral:lncRNA from 1 species